CUUUUAGUGUAAGCAUGUCCUACUUAAUAUUUGGGACAUGCUUAUACUAAAA
rnacentral:pre_miRNA from 1 species